rnacentral:rRNA from 1 species
AUACGGAGGGGGUUAGCGUUGUUCGGAAUUACUGGGCGUAAAGCGCACGUAGGCGGAUUGGAAAGUUGGGGGUGAAAUCCCAGGGCUCAACCCUGGAACUGCCUCCAAAACUAACAGUCUAGAGUUCGAGAGAGGUGAGUGGAAUUCCAAGUGUAGAGGUGAAAUUCGUAGAUAUUUGGAGGAACACCGGUGGCGAAGGCGGCUCACUGGCUCGAUACUGACGCUGAGGUGCGAAAGCGUGGGGAGCAAACAGGAUUAGAAACCCCAGUAGUCC